ensembl:lncRNA
GGGGGAGGGCAGGGGCCAGCUCCAUGCACUCUGCAGUAAGGCCUCAGAGCGCUAUCCCCAAGACACCAUCUAUGACCCAGACAUCCACUUCUCCUGGUCUCCAGUCUACUAUGGAUGAGGAGAGAGAGGAGGGGGGUCCUACCUCUAAGACCGCUCUGUCUGGGGAACAUGGCCGCCGGAGCAAAGCUAAGAGCCCAGAGCAGCAGCAGAGAGCAGACUCCCCUGGACCCAGCUGUGUCUCCAUGAAGAGUGACCACUCUAUGGAACGUCUUCUUAACUUUAAAGAUGGAAAUCAGUCUAUUGAGAAGAGGUGAGGAUUCAUCACACAUUAUAAAGGUACAGCUUCUAUCAAACAUCCAUAAAUCCUGGUUCUUGUUUUUCUAGAAGAGUCCAGCAGGAGAAAGCAGACUCCCCUGGACCCAGCUGUGUCUCCAUGAAGAGUGACUGGUCU